rnacentral:rRNA from 1 species
GAUAAACGCUGGCGGCGUGCCUAACACAUGCAAGUCGAACGCUCUCUGGCAACAGAGGGAGUGGCGGACGGGUGAGUAACACAUGGGAAUCGACCCAUUCGUGAGGAAUACCACCGAGAAAUCGGUGACAAUACCGCAUGAGCUCGGGAGACCGAGGAAAGCUCUUCGCAAGAGGGGCGCGAGUGGACGAGCCUGUGCCUGAUUAGUUAGUUGGUGGGGUAAGAGCCUACCAAGACUGCGAUCAGUCGCUGGUCUGAGAGGAUGAUCAGCCACACUGGGAUUGAGAACGGCCCAGACUCCUACGGGGGGCGAC